CAAUGGAAACCAGCCUAGUCUUAUCCUGGUUCCCACAGCAUCCAGUACAAACACUAUUCCCACCCCUUCAGAACCACAGACCCUGCCCUUGGUGCAGACCAUUCCGGCAAUGCCCCAAGUGCUGGCAGCACCCCAAACUCAAAUCCAGCAAUUUCAACCAGUUCACACCCAGCAGAGAUUUAUUUUGACUAAUUAUAAUGCUCCCCUCGUUACUGCCCAGCCUCUAAGCACAUCGACGAUUGCACGUCCCAUUUUAGGCAGCCUCAGUCGUAGCCGGAAAGGAGGAACCAGGCGUGGACGGAAGCCUAAAGCUGCUACCCAAAAAUCCGCCCCUACAGUUCAGACCACGCCAGUUAAGCAACCGUUAAUGUUAUCAGGUGUAACUUCCACAUCUACCACAAUAUCUAGUGCCAAUUCUGCUGCUGCUUCAAAGACAGAGUUCCCACGGCUUAAUACUGAUGAUCCACCGGCUAUGUCACCUGUCAGCAUUAGCCAAGUACCUGGAAACUCUUCGGUUCCUGCAGUUAACAUCAUUUCAGUGACACCAAACUCCACUCUAACAAACAGUUCCCCCAUGUUGAGCAGUGAUCCUGAGAGUGUUCCAAUCGAAGAGAAAGCUGUCGAAGAAAUCUCAAGGGAGCACUUCGUUCUGUGUCUAAAGAAAGAAAUGGAGAAUGGAGGACAGGGGGAUGGGAUGGAGGGAAGGAGUGAUGCAGGGCGGUCUUUUGUAUUGCAGAUUGAAGGUGAGGGCCAGCAAGAAGAGGGAGGGAAUAGUGAGGGAGGAGAGAAGUCAUAUGUCCUCCGGUUUCAGACAGAGGGAGAAUGUGAAGGAGAUGCAGGAAAAGAGAAGACAGAAAUGGUCUCUCUUAACUUACUCCAAGAGUGGACCGGACCGAGUGAGGGGCAUGGAACUGCAGAUGCCGAGGGAAGUGUUGAAGUAGAAAAGUCCUUUGUGCUUCAUUUCCAAACAGAGCCUCAGAGUGAGGAGGACAUUCAGCCAAACUCAGGCUUCAUAGGAGGCCCAGGUGAGGAUCUCAGCCUUUCUUGCCAUCCGGGUCAAGCCUUAGUGCCUCUGGAAGGGCAGGAUGUGGUAUUUGAGCUCGGUGAUGAGAAAAUGGAUGGAAGCACGGGUCCAGGGGACAGUGUUCAAAUGAUUGCACUGAUAGAAGGUGAGGGCAAUGGUUCGGGGGCAAGGGGCAGUUUUAAAGGUGCUGUUGGGGCAAACUCUGGGCA
ensembl:lncRNA